rnacentral:rRNA from 1 species
AGUGAACGCUGGCGGUAGGCCUAACACAUGCAAGUCGAACGGCAGCACAGUAAGAGCUUGCUCUUACGGGUGGCGAGUGGCGGACGGGUGAGGAAUACAUCGGAAUCUACUUUUUCGUGGGGGAUAACGUAGGGAAACUUACGCUAAUACCGCAUACGACCUACGGGUGAAAGCAGGGGAUCUUCGGACCUUGCGCGAUUGAAUGAGCCGAUGUCGGAUUAGCUAGUUGGCGGGGUAAAGGCCCACCAAGGCGACGAUCCGUAGCGGGUCUGAGAGGAUGAUCAGCCACACUGGAACUGAGACACGGUCCAGACUCCUACGGGAGGCAGCAGUGGGGAAUAUUGGACAAUGGGCGCAAGCCUGAUCCAGCCAUACCGCGUGGGUGAAGAAGGCCUUCGGGUUGUAAAGCCCUUUUGUUGGGAAAGAAAAGCAGCAGGUUAAUACCCCGCUGUUCUGACGGUACCCAAAGAAUAAGCACCGGCUAACUGCGU